CAGCCGCCGCGGGAAUACGAAGGGUGCAAGCGUUAAUCGGAAUUACUGGGCGUAAAGCGUGCGUAGGUGGUGGUUUAAAUCCGUUGUGAAAGCCCAGGGCUCAACCUGGGAAUUGCAGUGGAUACUGGGUCACUAGAGUGUGGUAGAGGAUAGUGGAAUUUCCGGUGUAGCAGUGAAAUGCGUAGAGAUCGGAAGGAACAUCUGUGGCGAAGGCGACUAUCUGGGCCAACACUGACACUGAGGCACGAAAGCGUGGGGAGCAAACAGGAUUAGAUACCCCUGUAGUCCCUGUCUCUUAUAC
rnacentral:rRNA from 1 species